AUAACACUGUGAUUCUGAGGUGCCAAGAGGAGGGGCUUUACCAGCCCUUGGGUGAUUACUACCAAACGGCCCAGAGGCCAGAGAGAGAGGGCAGGAAUUUGCCCCACUACCUGCUCAGUAUUAGCCAAGCUGCUGCCUUCAGCUUGUGCCUGUGGGUGCCUCCAGCCCCUCUCCCUUCCAGAACAGGUAUGGCUGGAAACCAGUCCUCCUGACAGAAGAAGUCAGUUCCAGGAGGUCCUUUCUCCCCCAGCCUGGGAGGAUGGGUUGUGACGCCUGGGACAGCUACACAAGCUUCUUGGCUUCAAAGAAGCUCUUGAGGUGCCGCAUCUGCCAGACACCGAUGGCCACGAGGAUGAGGGUCUGCAGAAUGGACCACCACAGCACCCGCUGGUUGGUGCUCUCACUGGUCUGCCGGAAGCGCUCCUCUCGCCACUGCAG
rnacentral:lncRNA from 1 species